rnacentral:rRNA from 1 species
CUACGGGGGGCAGCAGUGGGGAAUUUUGCGCAAUGGACGAAAGUCUGACGCAGCAACGCCGCGUGGGUGAUGAAGGUCUUCGGAUCGUAAAACCCUGUCGUCAGGGACGAAGUGUUGGGGGCUAAUAUCCUUCAGCAUUGACGGUACCUGGAGAGGAAGCCCCGGCUAACUCUGUGCCAGCAGCCGCGGUAAUACAGAGGGGGCAAGCGUUAUUCGGAAUUAUUGGGCGUAAAGGGCGCGUAGGCGGUCUUUUAAGUCAGAUGUGCAAUCCCCGGGCUCAACUUGGGAACUGCAUCUGAGACUGGAAGACUCGAGUGCUGGAGAGGGUGGUAGAAUUCCACGUGUAGCGGUGAAAUGCGUAGAGAUGUGGAGGAAUACCAGUGGCGAAGGCGGCCACCUGGACAGUAACUGACGCUGAGGCGCGAAAGUGUGGGUAGCAAACAGGAUUAGAUACCCUCGUAGUC